rnacentral:rRNA from 1 species
UUUCAUGGCGGCCCGUACCCUAAACCGACUCAGGUGGUCUGGUAGAGAAUACCGAGGCGUUCGGGUGAACUAUGGUUAAGGAACUCGGCAAAAUGCCCCCGUAACUUCGGGAGAAGGGGGGCCGUUCUUGGUGAUCUGUUUUACACAGUGAGCUGGGGGUGGCCGCAGAGACCAGCGAGAAGCGACUGUUUACUAAAAACACAGGUCCGUGCGAAGCCGUAAGGCGAUGUAUACGGACUGACGCCUGCCCGGUGCUGGAACGUUAAGGGGACCGGUUAGUCACAUUUCGGUGUGGCGAAGCUGAGAACUUAAGCGCCAGUAAACGGCGGUGGUAACUAUAACCAUCCUAAGGUAGCGAAAUUCCUUGUCGGGUAAGUUCCGACCUGCACGAAUGGCGUAACGACUUCUCGGCUGUCUCAACCAUAGGCCCGGUGAAAUUGCAGUACGAGUAAAGAUGCUCGUUUCGCGCAGCAGGACGGAAAGACCCCGGGACCUUUACUAUAGUUUGAUAUUGGUGUUCGGUUCGGCUUGUGUAGGAUAGGUGGGAGACUGUGAACUCUGGACGCCAGUUCAGGGGGAGUCAUUGUUGAAAUACCACUCUGGUCGUGCUGGAUGUCUAACCUGGGUCCGUGAUCCGGAUCAGGGACAGUGUCUGAUGGGUAGUUUAACUGGGGCGGUUGCCUCCUAAAGAGUAACGGAGGCGCCCAAAGGUUCCCUCAGCCUGGUUGGUAAUCAGGUGUUGAGUGUAAGUGCACAAGGGAGCUUGACUGUGAGACUGACGGGUCGAGCAGGGACGAAAGUCGGGACUAGUGAUCCGGCGGUGGCUUGUGGAAGCGCCGUCGCUCAACGGAUAAAAGGUACCCCGGGGAUAACAGGCUGAUCUUCCCCAAGAGUCCAUAUCGACGGGAUGGUUUGGCACCUCGAUGUCGGCUCGUCGCAUCCUGGGGCUGGAGUCGGUCCCAAGGGUUGGGCUGUUCGCCCAUUAAAGCGGUACGCGAGCUGGGUUUAGAACGUCGUGAGACAGUUCGGUCCCUAUCCGCUGCGCGCGUUGGAGUCUUGAGAAGGGCUGUCCCUAGUACGAGAGGACCGGGACGGACGGACCUCUGGUGUGCCAGUUGUUCUGCCAAGGGCAUGGCUGGUUGGCUACGUUCGGGAGGGAUAACCGCUGAAAGCAUCUAAGCGGGAAGCCUGCUUCGAGAUGAGGACUCCCACCCACUUGAUGGGGUAAGGCUCCCAGGAGACUACUGGGUUGAUAGGCCGGAGAUGGAAGCCAGGUGACUGGUGGAGUUGACCGGUACUAAUAGGCCGAGGGCUUGUCCGA